GGGGCUGUAGCCCCUGUGUUUUUUUCCAAAUUAUUGUCCUUGAAACAGGCUCCAUUCCUAUUUUGGAGAGCAUAUUCUGCCCCCGUUCUACUCAAGAUUCCCCUGAGAAGGAGCCAGUAGCAGGAAGAAAAAAAAGGCAGUUAAUAUACACGGAAAACAUGAGAGUUAUUUGAGAUGUUUGCUUUUUUAGAAAAAAAGAAUGAAAAUAUCUGCUUUUGCUGCUCCUCCUGCUACUGCUCCUGCUCCUGUUGUGGCUCAGCCAAUGCAACUAUUCUAUUCUGUUCUAUUCUAGCUUGGUAUUUAACAAGCCUUUUGUCCCCAUAAAGAGCAAUCACAGGAGGAGGAAGAGGAAGAGGAAGAGGAGGACGAGGAGCUCACAAAGUGAUGUAAGAGAGAAAUGCAGGGGCUUGAAAAUGAAAGCAACUGGUACCACCACCACCACCACCACAUUCAACAGUUUGCAAAACGCAAGCUUUUUUGCCAUUCAUUCAUCCAUCCAUGACUAGCACACAUCCAUUCAGCCCCCACCCAAACAGCCAAAGGGAAUAAGUAACUAUUCCUCCUCCAGGAGGGAAAAUCUUUUUUGGGGAGGCCAGAGCGGACUCACACAGGAUUCGAACUCCAGACCACCUUGGAACAGACUGGGUUUGUUGGUUUUCUCUUUUAAAUCACUGCAAAGCAAAAGAAAGACGAAUAAGAAAAAAACAAAAAGGAAAUAUUACACACACACAGGAUAGACUAGAGAGAAUGUGCUGUGUCUACUAGUGGUGUUAUUCUGGGAGAAGGAAGGAACGAAUUCAAGGAAAGAGAGUGUUGCGAGAGGAAGAAAAAUGGAGAGUAGCAGCCGCAGCAUGAGCCAGCGGCAGCUAGCAGCAAAGCAGCAGCAAACAGAUCUAGAGAAGUAGAUCUACCUUUGUUGUUGUUGCAUUCGCCUCCUCCUCGAAUGCGUUUUUUGCGCUGCUGCUGAAAGCUCCGCUUGCUUCCAUCUGCUUGUUGGCUUGCACAUAACACGGCGUUCCUUUGUUUUGUCCUCGUCGUCUCCGUCGUCUCGAGGGCUGUGGAGAGCAGUUUGCCGAUAGUUAGCACCCGCAAGGAAGCAGAAAAAGAUCAAUCCUCUCUUCUCCUCUCUCACUCACUCACUGGUGCACAACACACAACACACACAUACACGCUGCUCGUAGCCAGCGCAAGGAUAAAGAAGUUAAAAACAGUUUGGUGUUUACCUGGAGAUUCGUCGUUCAUUGUUUUCGCUUUUGCUCUUACUCCUGCUCCUCUUCCUCCUCCUCUUUCCGUUUGGUUGAGCUGAUCAAG
rnacentral:lncRNA from 1 species